rnacentral:lncRNA from 12 species
AAUUUUGAUUUUCAUAAUGUAUAUCUUAAAUCAAUGUUUUUUACAGCUGAAAUUUUCGUUAAUAAUUUUUGAACAUUUUUUUUUCUAAUUCUUUGAUUAAUAAAAACUUAAAAAGAAGAGCAUUUAUUUAGAAUAGAAAUCUUUUCUAACAAUAUACACUACCGUUCAAAAGUUUGGGGGUCAGUAAAUUUUUAUUCUUUCUUUUUUGAAAAAAAAUUAAAACUUUCAUUCAGCAAGGAUGUGUUAAAUUGAUAAGAAGUGAUAGAAAAGAUUUAUAUUGUUAGAAAAGAUUUCUAUUUUGAAUAAAUGCUGUUCUUUUUAACUUUUUAUUCAUCAAAGAAUCCUGAAAAAAGUAUCGCAGUUUCCAAAAAAAUAUCUGGCAGUACAACUGUUGCCAACAUUGAUAAUUCUAAUAAUAAAUCAGCAUAUUGGAAUGAUUUCUGAAGGAUCAUGUGAGUCUUUAUACUGGAGAAAUUAUGAUUUAAAUUCAGCUUUGCAUCACAGAAAUAAAUGAUAUUUUAAAGGAUAUUAAAAUAGAAAACAUUAUUUCAUAUUAUUAUAACAUUUUGGCAGAUUACUGUUUUUUUCUGUAUUUUUGAUCAAAUAAAUGCAGGCCUGAUGAGCAGAAGAGACUUUUUAAAAAACAUUACAAGUCUUACUGACCCCAAACUUUCGAACGGUAGUGUAUAUAGGCUAUAUAUAUAUUUUAGUUUCAAUUUUAGUUUUAGUUCUUUUAGAACACUGAAAAAAUCAAUGCAGAAAAUUAAUUACAAAGAUAAAUACCGUGCAUAAAGGACAUCAUUUCCUUAAAAAGAAUCUACAAUGCAAUAAUAACACAUGCUGAAUAUGCUUCCACAACACAAAACUAGCAAACAAUAACUGACAGCUUCCAGAAUUCUAUUGUCUAACAAAACAAACAGGAGGCACAAUGAGUCUCAGCAGCAGCAUUUGUCUGGUCUGUCUGCGUCUGCACGACAUACAGCGCAGUUUAAAGCCAUCCGCUCCUGUGUGAAUGUUUGUGAAGGUCACAGCAAAGUCCUUGGGCAGAUACGAUAAGGGACUUAUCCACCGGACCGGCGCUGACCUCUGGAUUCAACAGUGAGCUGCAAACCCAUCUCAGCAUCAGAUCAGAGGACUGAUUUGGGGAUGAGAGAGAGAGAGAGAGAGAGAGAGAGAGAGCCCUCUCUCUACACUGCUUUAAUUCAGCACUUUUUGCUCCGUGUGAGAGGGUUGCAAUCUGAGAGGCUUUUUUGCCUGUCAUCUAAUGUAAAGGUGUAAUGGGAAAACACCUCGAGCCGCCUCCUCCUCGCCCGGAUCGCCCGGCCUAGACAAUCGAGCGCUGCUGCCAAGUACCACAGAAAGCCUGUCAAUCACCGCCGUGCAAAUAAAAGCCUGGCAAACUCGUGCGGGAUUUCAGACUGGAUGAUGUGUUUUGUUCUGAUACGCCGAACCUCGCACAGACAAUGUGUGACACAACAGCUCUCCAGAAAUCAGCUUCGCAAUUGCAACGAAAGGGAAAAAUUACAGCCCUGCUAGAGGCGAUGCUUCGGAAAACAAUGUCCUUCUGUUUAUCGCUGUCUUGUUAAAAUAGUCAAAAAAUUAAACUGUUUUCCUUUCGGUCUUUGUGUUGUCGUUUUUCUAAUUUCGCAUAAGAAUAACUUGCUUUCUUACACUCGGGUUGCACUGUGGAUUUGAACAAAUCACAUUAGAGACAGAUGCAGAGAAAACCUCGUCCAAAUCAUGACGUUAAAGACCAUAGUGCAAUAAAUAGAUAAAUAAACAAAAAAUCACAAAAUGCAUAAAUAAACAAACACACAAAUUAAUGAAUGAGCUAUUUUGGCUAAAAUGCUGCAAGAUUUUGAAGGAUAAAAGGAUUUAGUAUAUUAAAACACUUUCUCCUAUCUCAGUUUUAUUACAUAUGUAAUGUACUGUAUGGUCUGUGAAUGAUUUAUCAGUUAUUCUAAAGAAAUCAGUAUUUGUCUUCAUAAUAUCAAAUCAAAAUCUUCUUUCAAAACUCUGAAACAACUUUCCUUUUAAGCUGUUGUCACCUUACGCUGUAAAAAAAACACUUUUUUAAAGUUGUAAAGUAAACAGUCAUUAACAAUUAUUAAAUCAAUCAGUAUGUUUUACAAGAAAAUACUUUGGGUAAACUUGAAAAAACAAGACUGAAUUGUGAGUUUCUUGCACAACAUAAACUUUCAAUUCUAAGUAAAAAGUCUGAAUUGUGAGGAAAAUAAAAAAGAAGAAAAAACUGAAAUUGAAAACCAUUGAAACCUGCUGAUGGCCAACAAAGACUUCUGAUGUGGAAGGAACAUGAAACUAAAAUAAUCGGACCGUUUUUCCUCCAUUAUGAGAAACUAGAACCUAAAGAAACUGUAUUUGUGAAUUCACACAACUUCCUUAAAAGUACUAAAACAAGCACUAAUGGAAACAUGAUAGAACUGGAAUCAUUCUGAAUCAGAAGCAGAAUUAUUAUAUACUGUAUGAAUGAUUGUCUUUCUUAACCCCUUAUAUUCUGGUCAUUUGAAAAUGCUAGUUUAUGUUAUUGCAUUGGACUAAAUCUUACUGAUUUCGGAAAAAAGGAUAAUUUCUGUAUUUUCCCCCCCUUGUAACACUUGUGUAAGUAUUAAGUAAUUUAUAUUUUAUAUCUGGUUAACAAUUACAAAUAAAAUGCGAAUACAUUUCUCAUUGUGCUAAAUUAUUACCAAGCACUGGAUUUAACAGAUCUGCACCUCAGUUUUUGAAUUAAUAUUGUUAUAUUUUAUUUUUAUAUGUUUAUGUAUUGAUGUAUGCAUGCAUGUCUGUCUGUGUGUUUAUAUAUAUGCAUGUAUGUAUUUAUUUAUGGAACCAUGUUUUUUAAAUAAUAUAUGUGUCACAGCCACACCAUCUACACUCCCUGAAUCAGACACUUACGCCACGCCCACUCGUUCCCAAUCACCAGCAUUCUGAACACCUGUGCAUCAUCACCAGUGCCACACAUAAAGCCCUCAGUCACCAUCACUCAUUGUCUGGUCUUGCACCGAUCUCCCAACUUACCUGAACGCCCUUCGUCGAACCUACCUGAUAUAUUGAACCCUCUUCAUCCUCCUCUGCCUACCUGUUCCCAUCGUCUUCGUNUAUGUAUUUAUUUAUGGAACCAUGUUUUUGAAAUAAUAUAUGUUUGUUUUUGUUUUUU